rnacentral:rRNA from 2 species
CGAGUUCUGAUUAUUGAAAGGUGCUUGCAUCUUGAUUUAAUUUUGAACGAGUGGCGGACGGGUGAGUAACACGUGGGUAACCUGCCCUUAAGUGGGGGAUAACAUUUGGAAACAGAUGCUAAUACCGCAUAAAUCCAAGAACCGCAUGGUUCUUGGCUGAAAGAUGGCGUAAGCUAUCGCUUUUGGAUGGACCCGCGGCGUAUUAGCUAGUUGGUGAGGUAACGGCUCACCAAGGCAAUGAUACGUAGCCGAACUGAGAGGUUGAUCGGCCACAUUGGGACUGAGACACGGCCCAAACUCCUACGGGAGGCAGCAGUAGGGAAUCUUCCACAAUGGACGCAAGUCUGAUGGAGCAACGCCGCGUGAGUGAAGAAGGCUUUCGGGUCGUAAAACUCUGUUGUUGGAGAAGAAUGGUCGGCAGAGUAACUGUUGUCGGCGUGACGGUAUCCAACCAGAAAGCCACGGCUAACUACGUGCCAGCAGCCGCGGUAAUACGUAGGUGGCAAGCGUUAUCCGGAUUUAUUGGGCGUAAAGCGAGCGCAGGCGGUUUUUUAAGUCUGAUGUGAAAGCCCUCGGCUUAACCGAGGAAGUGCAUCGGAAACUGGGAAACUUGAGUGCAGAAGAGGACAGUGGAACUCCAUGUGUAGCGGUGAAAUGCGUAGAUAUAUGGAAGAACACCAGUGGCGAAGGCGGCUGUCUGGUCUGUAACUGACGCUGAGGCUCGAAAGCAUGGGUAGCGAACAGGAUUAGAUACCCUGGUAGUCCAUGCCGUAAACGAUGAAUGCUAGGUGUUGGAGGGUUUCCGCCCUUCAGUGCCGCAGCUAACGCAUUAAGCAUUCCGCCUGGGGAGUACGACCGCAAGGUUGAAACUCAAAGGAAUUGACGGGGGCCCGCACAAGCGGUGGAGCAUGUGGUUUAAUUCGAAGCAACGCGAAGAACCUUACCAGUCUUGACAUCUUUUUGAUCACC